GAUGAAGAACGUAGCGAAAUGCGAUAAGUAGUGUGAAUUGCAGAAUUCAGUGAAUCAUCGAAUCUUUGAACGCACAUUGCGCCCCUUGGUAUUCCCUGGGGCAUGCCUGUUCGAGCGUCAUUUGUACCCUCAAGCUUUGCUUGGUGUUGGGUGUUUGUCCCGCGUUGCGCGUGGACUCGCCUUAAAGCGAUUGGCAGCCGGCAUAUUGGCCUUGGAGCGCAGCACAUUUUGCGCUUCUAGUCAUGAAUGUUGGCGUCCAUUAAGCCUAUACAUUUGCUCUUGACCUCGGAUCAGGUAGGGAUACCCGCUGAACUUAAGCAUAUCAAUAAGCGGAGGA
rnacentral:misc_RNA from 1 species